AUUGAACGCUGGCGGCAGGCCUAACACAUGCAAGUCGAGCGAGCGGCGGACGGGUGAGUAAUGUUGGGGACUGCCCGAUAGAGGGGGAUAACUACUGGGAACGGUGGCUAAUACCGCAUCCUAUCGGAUAACCCAUAUGGGAUUAGCUCGUAGGUGGGGUAAAGGCUCACCUAGGCGACGAUCUCGAGCUGGUCUGAGAGGAUGAUCAGCCACCGUGGGACUGGGACCCGGCCCAGAAUCCUACGGAGGCAGCAGGGGGGAAUAUUGCACAAUGGGAGCAAGCCUGAUGCUGGCAUGCCGCGUGGAUGAAGAAGGCCUUAGGGUUGUAAAGUACUUGCAGCGGGGAGGCGUUACCCGCAGAAGAAGCACCGGCUAACUCCGUGCCAGCAGCCGCGGUAAUUC
rnacentral:rRNA from 1 species